UAGGGAAUCUUCCGCAAUGGACGAAAGUCUGACGGAGCAACGCCGCGUGAGUGAAGAAGGUUUUCGGAUCGUAAAACUCUGUUGUCAGAGAAGAACAAGUUGGAGAGUAACUGCUCCAGCCUUGACGGUAUCUGACCAGAAAGCCACGGCUAACUACGUGCCAGCAGCCGCGGUAAUACGUAGGUGGCAAGCGUUGUCCGGAUUUAUUGGGCGUAAAGCGAGCGCAGGCGGUUCCUUAAGUCUGAUGUGAAAGCCCACGGCUCAACCGGGGAAGGUCAUUGGAAACUGGGGAACUUGAGUGCAGAAGAGGAGAGUGGAAUUCCAUGUGUAGCGGUGAAAUGCGUAGAUAUAUGGAGGAACACCAGUGGCGAAGGCGGCCUGCUGGACAUCAACUGACGCUGAGGAGCGAAAGCGUGGGGAGCAAACA
rnacentral:rRNA from 1 species